GGUAUAAUAAAAAAACAAAAACUUCAGAUCAUUUCUUCCAUGAUCAAUGGGGAAAAUAAAAUGUCUCAAGGAUCUUUUUUGUUUAAUUGCCCAAGUGCCCGCUGUGCGUAGAGCUGUUGUUCUCGAGCUUCUUUAGCAGCUAAAGCUUCCUCAUCAAGAACUUGAAUAGGGGACCAUUCUGGUAAUUUCAUCCAGCUACUACUUUCUUCAAUUAUCGAUUCUUUGUAGCUUCUUAAAACGGGUUUUAGUUUAAGUGUGC
rnacentral:misc_RNA from 1 species